rnacentral:hammerhead_ribozyme from 1 species
GCACUGCUGAGGAGUUCCGUGCCAGGACGAAACGGCCGUCCAGUGC